GAUAAACGCUGGCGGCGUGCCUAAUGCAUGCAAGUCGAGCGAACGGACGAGAAGCUUGCUUCUCUGAUGUUAGUGGCGGACGGGUGAGUAACACGUGGAUAACCUACCUAUAAGACUGGGAUAACUUCGGGAAACCGGAGCUAAUACCGGAUGAUAUUUUGAACCGCAUGGUUCAAAAGUGAAAGACGGUCUUGCUGUCACUUAUAGAUGGAUCCGCGCUGCAUUAGCUAGUUGGUAAGGUAACGGCUUACCAAGGCAACGAUGCAUAGCCGACCUGAGAGGGUGAUCGGCCACACUGGAACUGAGACACGGUCCAGACUCCUACGGGAGGCAGCAGUAGGGAAUCUUCCGCAAUGGGCGAAAGCCUGACGGAGCAACGCCGCGUGAGUGAUGAAGGUCUUCGGAUCGUAAAACUCUGUUAUUAGGGAAGAACAUAUGUGUAAGUAACUGUGCACAUCUCGACGGUACCUAAUCAGAAAGCCACGGCUAACUACGUGCCAGCAGCCGCGGUAAUACGUAGGUGGCAAGCGUUAUCCGGAAUUAUUGGGCGUAAAGCGCGCGUAGGCGGUUUUUUAAGUCUGAUGUGGAAGCCCACGGCUCAACCGUGGAGGGUCAUUGGAAACUGGAAAACUUGAGUGCAGAAGAGGAAAGUGGAAUUCCAUGUGUAGCGGUGAAAUGCGCAGAGAUAUGGAGGAACACCAGUGGCGAAGGCGACUUUCUGGUCUGUAACUGACGCUGAUGUGCGAAAGCGUGGGGAUCAAACAGGAUUAGAUACCCUGGUAGUCCACGCCGUAAACGAUGAGUGCUAAGUGUUAGGGGGUUUCCGCCCCUUAGUGCUGCAGCUAACGCAUUAAGCACUCCGCCUGGGGAGUACGACCGCAAGGUUGAAACUCAAAGGAAUUGACGGGGACCCGCACAAGCGGUGGAGCAUGUGGUUUAAUUCGAAGCAACGCGAAGAACCUUACCAAAUCUUGACAUCCUUUGACAACUCUAGAGAUAGAGCCUUCCCCUUCGGGGGACAAAGUGACAGGUGGUGCAUGGUUGUCGUCAGCUCGUGUCGUGAGAUGUUGGGUUAAGUCCCGCAACGAGCGCAACCCUUAAGCUUAGUUGCCAUCAUUAAGUUGGGCACUCUAAGUUGACUGCCGGUGACAAACCGGAGGAAGGUGGGGAUGACGUCAAAUCAUCAUGCCCCUUAUGAUUUGGGCUACACACGUGCUACAAUGGACAAUACAAAGGGCAGCGAAACCGCGAGGUCAAGCAAAUCCCAUAAAGUUGUUCUCAGUUCGGAUUGUAGUCUGCAACUCGACUACAUGAAGCUGGAAUCGCUAGUAAUCGUAGAUCAGCAUGCUACGGUGAAUACGUUCCCGGGUCU
rnacentral:rRNA from 1 species